AAGUGGUAUAUUUAAAGCCAUUGACUUUAGUAUCUGUUCUUAUCAGUUUAUUAUUGGAUAUGUUUUUUUUUUUUACAUGAGUGUUUUAUUAAACAGAUUCUUAGAGCAGAGAGUUGUAAUAGCGGCUUGCUCCUUCUGCUCCAUGCAUCAACCUGGUAUUGUAGUAUCUCCAGGAAUAGUGCCCUCAUU